AGCUUUAUAGUGUAAAUAGCACUACAGAUUGCAAAUCUGACAGAGGAAAUCUCCUAGAGCUU
rnacentral:tRNA from 1 species